ACAACAGUGAUGCCCUUAGUAAUGGCGAAUGAAACGGGCAGAGCCCAGCACCGAACUGCCGGCCUUCGGUCGUGCGGAAUGUGGUGUUUGGGAGAGCCUCAUCUCAGCGAGCGGGCAUGUCCAAGUCCUUCUGACAGGGGCCAUUGCUCAGAGAGGGUGAUAGGCCCGUAGGACGGCUGGCUCGUUGAGGCGGCUUCACCCCAGAGUCGAGUUGCUUGGGAGUGCAGCUCAAAGUGCGUGGUAAACUCCACGUAAGGCUAAAUAUGACCCCGAGACCGAUAGCGAACAAGUACCGUGAGGGAAAGUUGAAAAGUACUUUGAAGAGAGAGUUCAAUAGUGCGUGAAACUGUGCGGUGGUAAACGGAAGGGUUUCUCGAAGUUGGCCGAAGAAGUUCAGGCUGAGGUCCGGCUGUCUCUGGUGUGCGAGAUCCGCAAGGACUCUGCGCUUGGGAUCGGUCCCGUCUGCGGCUGCACUUCUCCAAGGCUUUGCGCGACGAACCGCUGGUGGUGCACCGCGGGCGUGGGUGAAGUUGGGGCUCGGCUUGCCGGGCUCCAGCCCUGCGUUCCGGGCUGCGCUGCUGGCGGGUAGUGGGGCGGCCUCGUAUAUCGAGCAUGUUCUCUUGUGCGGGUCGCGUUUCUGUCGCGAGUAGGUCGGCGGCCCCUCCGACCCGUCUUGAAACACGGACCA
rnacentral:rRNA from 1 species